rnacentral:lncRNA from 1 species
GAUUGUCUUGUGUGCUGAAGAACUUUUGAGUACGGGAGAAGACAAAUUGAAAGACGGGAGAAACACCAUAAUCGAUUGCAAGGAAAUUAAAGAUUAACACAAGCAAAGCUACAAAGGAAAUGCAUGUGGGGAUCAUGAGUAUUGGUUGCCCCGGGGCUGAGUGUGAAGAGGGUAAAGGCGAUGGAAAGAUAAACAAAACAGCACAGAGGAAAAAAAAAAAUAAAGACAUCAUAAACGGCUUCCACAGUGACAGCACCCGUACGAUGUGUUUUUGUAUUUGUACAAGAGUGAAAUGAAAUUGUUGUCUCCGAAUCCACUGGAAGGGGCUCAGAAUUGCCAGAAGUCUGGUGCGUGUUUCCUAUAUGUUCUUUCUGCCCGUUGUUGUUUGUUUGAUAUGUUUGAAUUUGAGGACGACCUGACGACGAUCUUACCCAGAGGCGAGA